UCAUCAGGUAGGAUAAUCCUUAUCUAUUCCUCCUUUUGGAGGGCCGAUUGAAACACAAUUGAAGUUCACAUGACUUGUGAUUAGCGUUUCUGCGUAAUCAGGACUUGCAAUACCCUGAUUGUUCCUGAU